rnacentral:sRNA from 1 species
GCAGGACAUCUGGUAUGUUAUUGACCUCCUGACCGGGGAGAAGCAGCAGACUUUGUCAUCGGCCUUUGCAGAUAGUCUCUGCCCAUCAACCUCUCUUCUGUAUCUUGGGCGAACAGAAUACACCAUCACCAUGUAUGACACCAAAACCCGAGAGCUCCGGUGGAAUGCCACCUACUUUGACUAUGCGGCCUCGCUGCCUGAGGACGACGUGGACUACAGUAAGUGCUCUCUGCUGGAUUUCACAAGCUUGGGCCAGUACUUUUGACCUAUGUGGAAACAGUUGCUCCAAAAAGUAGGAUUUUCUUUUAAGAUACUCUUUGUCACCAGGUUCUUUCUUUCCAUGGACUUUUCAUGGGCUUAUUGUAAAUACUUCCCACAGUCAAUGUGCAGGGGCCUUGGUGAAGUCUGAAGGGAAACCGAAGUAAAAUGGUGACAAGCUUAGCCAGAGAGGAAGGAGGACAUCCCUCGUUGAGUCUUCUAUGUCACAGAAGGAAUUUACUGCAAGCCCAUGGAAAGUAGAAGUAAAAUCAGCAUAGGACGUUAACAA